AGAAUCAACGCUGGCGGCGUGCCUAACACAUGCAAGUCGCACGAGAAAGGGGAGCAAUCCCUGAGUAAAGUGGCGCACGGGUGAGUAACACGUGAAUAAUCUACCUCCGAGUGGGGAAUAACUGAGAGAAAUCUUAGCUAAUACCGCAUAACACUUACGAGUCAAAGCAGCAAUGCGCUUGGAGAGGAGUUCGCGGCCGAUUAGUUAGUUGGCGGGGUAAUGGCCCACCAAGACGAUGAUCGGUAUCCGGCCUGAGAGGGGCGCGACGGACGACGACUGGAACUGAAACACGGUCCAGACUCCUACGGGAGGCAGCAGUGGGGAAUUUUGCGCAAUGGGGGGAAACCCUGACGCAGCAACGCCGCGUGGAGGAUGAAGCCCCUUGGGGUGUAAACUCCUUUCGAUCGGGAAGAUAAUGACGGUACCGAUAUAAGAAGCCCGGCUAACUUCGUGCCAGCAGCCGC
rnacentral:rRNA from 1 species